GCCAGUGUGGUGUAGUGGUUUGAGCACUGGACUACGACUCAGGAGACUCUGGAGAUUCAAAUCCUUCCCUAGUCA